rnacentral:lncRNA from 1 species
GGGGAGAGUAAAAUCCUGUUCGCAGCAUGGCCACGAGGAAGGAAGGAAGGAUGGGGCUGCUCUGCAAGUUUUUGCCCUGCUAUGGAAGACUCAGUGCGUGCGGAACAAGCAAGGAUCCAGGCCCAAGUUCCCUGCGUUCUUUCCCCCCAGUCUUGCUGAACAGUAAUGAGAGCAGAGAUAUGUCCCAGAGCUGGAAGAUUCGCCGAUGGACCUUGAGACCAGGCAAGGGCAUCUCUGUGGCCCAGCACCCUGAACUGCGUCUGGCACAGGCUGUCUGCCCACCUCACGAUUGUUAGCUGAGAACCAUCAAAUGGAAUUUUAUAAGAAAAUAAGGACCAAGACUGUUCUAUCCUCCAGGGCAAACGGAAAUUCACCGGAUUUCAACUGCACUGGAAUUUGGCGCAUUCAAGCAAUAGUGACUGAAUCAGUUUUUC